GCUUUGUCUGCUCCGUAACUGGAACUCGGGCCCCGCUGGGCUGUGGGGUCUCUCCCGCGGUGCGAGGGGCACGGGAGGCGAGUCUUACCCUAGAUGCGCUCCCAGGAGCAGAGGAGUUGAGCACAGGACCCUGAUUGGCUGGACUUCCACCAUGGGACUGGGGGGCUGAUGGCCCUGAGAGUGGGGGGUUCCCACCGGAAGACACGCCAGGCACAUGAACAAGAAACUGAAAUCCAGGCUUGGGGACUGAAGCUUCACAUCACACUUGGAUGCACCGCAGCGUCUUAGAAAGGCGGGCAGCGGGGGUGGUGCCAGGGCGUGCGGACUGCGACUCUCUGUAGGCUACCUAAGUAAUGUGCGGGGAGCCUUGGUGACCACGCAUGCCCUGACCCCUCAUAAAGUCCCUGCCCCGUUGUGGCCCGGUUGUAAACUUCCCUGAAAAGGUCAUGUGAAUUUAUCGUCCCCAGUGCUUUAUAAUUAGAAAUUAUGGUCUCUCUUCUGCACGACACUUUUGAGCUUU